rnacentral:rRNA from 1 species
AGAGUUUGAUCAUGGCUCAGAACGAACGCUGGCGGCAGGCCUAACACAUGCAAGUCGAACGAGCUGGGACUUUCGGGUCCCGAUGCUAGUGGCGCACGGGUGAGUAACACGUGGGAAUCUACCCUGUAGUACGGAAUAACUGAGGGAAACUUCGGCUAAUACCGUAUACGUCCUCGGGAGAAAGAUUUAUCGCUAUAGGA